rnacentral:rRNA from 1 species
UACAGAGGGUGCGAACGUUGUUCGGAAUUACUGGGCAUAAAGCGCACGUAGGCGGUUCUGUGUGUGUGAGGUGAAAUCCCACGGCUUACCCGUGGAACUGCUUCGCAAACUGCAGGACUCGAGGAUGGUAGGGGAGAGCGGAACUCCUGGUGGAGCGGUGAAAUGCGUAGAUAUCAGGAGGAACACCGGUGGCGAAGGCGGCUCUCUAGUCCAUUUCUGACGCUGAGGUGCGAAAGCCAGGGGAGCAAACGGG